AACGCGAAGAACCUUACCCAGGUUUGACAUGUACUUGACACCGGUAGAAAUAUCGUCUUCCGAAAGGACAAGUACACAGGUGCUGCAUGGCUGUCGUCAGCUCGUGCCGUGAGGUGUUGGGUUAAGUCCCGCAACGAGCGCAACCCUUAUCAAUAGUUGCCAGCACUUAGGGUGGGAACUCUAUUGAGACUGCCUGGGUUAACCAGGAGGAAGGUGAGGAUGACGUCAAGUCAGCAUGGCCCUUAUGUCUGGGGCGACACACGUGCUACAAUGGCCGGUACAGAAGGCAGCAAGACCGCAAGGUGGAGCAAAUCCCAAAAGCCGGCCCCAGUUCGGAUUGUAGUCUGCAACUCGACUACAUGAAGUUGGAAUUGCUAGUAAUGGCGCGUCAGCCACAGCGCCGUGAAUACGUUCCCGGGCCUUGUACACACCGCAUAC
rnacentral:rRNA from 1 species